CUAGGUCUUUGAAACCAGAGCAGAGCAUGGGAUUUCCUAUGAUGGAUGUAAAUGGUAGUCCUGUAUAGUACCCAUCCUGGGACUACCUGGUUGCUGGAGCAUCUGAGCGUGGUGAAGCCACUUGCUGCAACAGGGCACUUAAGCACAGCCUGUAGAGCCACGUGUACCGAUCCAGUUGGUAAUUACUGGAGUCAUUUUCUCCAGUCUGGGAGUGAAGUGGUCACGGGAGUCACAUUCUGGGUGAGAAAGAAAAGCUUUGUACAGAGACGUGAGCUUUAAUCAGGGGACAGCAGACAAGCAUUUUAGAAAGUCUCCCCUUGCCUCGCGGUGAUGAAGAAUAAAUGACCCACCAGCAAAUGACUCCCUACGCUACUGCUACAGCUCCCUGGAAAUACCCACAAUGCUUCUGCCUGGAUUUCAAAGAUGGUCUGGGCCUCACUGUGGUCAUUAGUGCUGUAGGAAAAACAGCAGUCGAUCAAUGGAUUGACUCUGGGGAGAUGCUUCCGGGUUUCAUCGCUCUAAGCCACAGUUACAAGAUCAUUUCUACGAGAAAUAAAAUUACUGUGAAUAUUUCUGUACAAGCUUUUGUGUUGCAACAUGGUCCUGUGCCUCCUGGGAAAAGCAGAUAGGUUACCUCACUUAGCAUGGAUGCCCAACCACAGAUUCUCAAAAUAC
rnacentral:lncRNA from 1 species